UACAGAGGUCCCGAGCGUUGUUCGGAUUCACUGGGCGUAAAGCGUGCGCAGGCGGUCUGUUAAGACCGAUGUGAAAUCCCCGGGCUUAACCUGGGAACUGCAUUGGUGACUGGCAGGCUUUGAGUGUGGCAGAGGGAGGUAGAAUUCCACGUGUAGCAGUGAAAUGCGUAGAGAUGUGGAGGAAUACCGAUGGCGAAGGCAGCCUCCUGGGCCAACACUGACGCUCAUGCACGAAAGCGUGGGGAGCAAACAGG
rnacentral:rRNA from 1 species